rnacentral:rRNA from 1 species
UACGGAGGGUGCAAGCGUUAAUCGGAAUUACUGGGCGUAAAGCGUGCGCAGGCGGUUUUGUAAGUCUGUCGUGAAAUCCCCGGGCUCAACCUGGGAAUUGCGAUGGAGACUGCAAGGCUAGAAUCUGGCAGAGGGGGGUAGAAUUCCACGUGUAGCAGUGAAAUGCGUAGAGAUGUGGAGGAACACCGAUGGCGAAGGCAGCCCUCUGGGUCAAGAUUGACGCUCAUGCACGAAAGCGUGGGGAGCAAACAGG